UGAGGAAUAUUGGACAAUGGACGUGAGUCUGAACCAGCCAAGUCGCGUGAAGGAAGAAGGUUCUAUGGAUUGUAAACUUCUUUUAUACGGGAAUAAAGUGCAUCACGUGUGGUGUUUGUAUGUACCGUAUGAAUAAGCAUCGGCUAACUCCGUGCCAGCAGCCGCGGUAAUACGGAGGAUGCGAGCGUUAUCCGGAUUUAUUGGGUUUAAAGGGUGCGUAGGUUGUUUUUAAGUCAGCGGUGAAAGUUUGUGGCUCAACCAUAAAAUUGCCGUUGAAACUGGAAGACUUGAGUGUGUUUGAGGUAGGCGGAAUGCGUGGUGUAGCGGUGAAAUGCAUAGAUAUCACGCAGAACUCCGAUUGCGAAGGCAGCGUACCGGCGCCCAACUGACGCUGAAGCACGAAGGCGUGGGUAUCGAACAGGAUUAGAUACC
rnacentral:rRNA from 1 species